ensembl:lncRNA
UGGGGCCUGGAUCUCCUCCAUACCUGCUUCAUACCCUGGUGGACGGGGCUAUGGCUCCCCACACUCCCUAGCUGUCACGGGUAAUGGGAAAGUACGGACUCAGUCGCGGAGCUCAGGAUGCAAAGUACACAGUGCAUUUAUUUACAGUGCCCAAAAACAGUUUCAAAACAUAAAGUGAAGUGCAAAGUCCAACAGUGAUCUUCUCCAAACUCCCAGUGGUGCGCAGGUGAGGUUCCAAAGUGAUUCUCAGAGUGUGUGUUCUCCUCCAAUAGCUUAAUCCACGGGCUCCUUCUUUCCAACCUCCAGCUCUGUAUCUCUUCCUCCUUUUUUUUUUUUUUUUUUUUUGCGCCUGUUCCGUUUGGCUCUUUUGCCAUCAGAAUUGUUGUCUAAAGGCAAAGAAAGAUGCCCAACGGAUUUACUUUACCAAAUUGACCAUCCCAGCCUUGCCGUAAUGGUCCAUUUGAUUCACCUUUUAUUGUUUAUUUUAUUUUCACUUACUGAAUACGGGACAGACUUAACUGGGGGAAAGAAGGGGAGAAAGAAAGAGGGAAAGAGAAACAGCUAUCUCUGUAUCUCUUCCUCCUAUAAACGAGCAAAAACAACAAGUGAGGAAACUAGCCGGCUAAACCUAAGCUGCAAGUCACAAAAUACUCUUUACUACCGAGCUUCAAGUACAAUCCAGCGUUGACUGCCAUCUGGACACAGUUAAAUACCUCAGCCCACAACGAAGGAUGAUCAGUGACAGCUGGGUGGCAAAUUAGGUGCAGGUGUGUCAGCCACUGGGUGGAGGAGGAGAGAGAGAGAAGCACACACAUACACACACAGGCAGGUCGCCCCGGGAAGGACCGUCCGACCAUGACACUAGCAGAUCGUUACAUGGAGAAACCUUUGGAAUACAAGCAUGCUGAUCCACACAGGUGUGCACACGGGUGUACACACGGGUGUUCACAGACGCGGACUACACCUUUCUUGGCUGCUGCCUCAAAGCACAUUGUGCGCUGUUUAUCUUGCGUGCUGCACAAUAUCGUUUAUUAUUUAGUAUCUACUGUUAUCUACUGCUAGCUAGUUGAUUGUGAUGGUGCCGUUUUUUUUAAUUAUGUUGCUCUUUGUUGUUUGCUUUCUCUUCUGUUUUUUGUUCUCAAUACAGGUGAUCCAGGUGUUUUGUUUGUUUUUUUGUUUUUCUUUCUUCCCCCCUUUCUCACCGUCUCUUCUCCCCUUUGGUUUUCUUUCUCUCCCUCUCUUUCUUUCAUUCUUUCUCCCUGUCCUAUCCCCCAGUCAUGUCUGUCCCGUUUGUAGCAACCGAAAAUAAAAUAAAUUCAUAAUUAUAAUAAAGGUCAAUCAAAUGGACCAAUAUGGCAAGGCCAUGAUGAUCCACUUGGUAAAAUAAAUCCGCUUGGCAUCUUUCUUGGCCUUAAGACAACAAUUCUGAUGGCUAAAGAUCCAAACAGGACAACAAAAAGGAUAGUUCCCACCCUGGUUUCAACAUGUUCAGCCUGCUUCCCUCAGGGAAGCACUACAGGUGCAUCAGCAAAAAAAACCCCACAGACUGAAAAACAGUUUAU